CCCGGCCCGGCCUGGCGGGGGCGGUGUCGCUGUGCCCUGGGCGGGCCGGGGGAGCGGUGCUCGAGAAGGCUCACCACUGUCCCAGUCUCUAUCAGCUUCAUCUGGGAUCCAUGGCUUUGUGAGAGGUAUGUGUUCUGGCUCCUCUGAGCCAGCCUUAGCUGGGCAUCCCAACUCUUGACGUUGUUACCACUCUCCCCUGUCAGGGUAUUCAUUCACUUCCUGCUGCUCUGGGCUCUCAGGAGGCCUCACUUCUGGUCCUCCUUGGACAUUGUCUGGUGGGGAUUUUAUCCCUCUUUCUGAGGGACGCCCAGCAAAUCGACAUCGGGACACAUCCACAAAGCGUGCCCAUGCUGGCCUGGAGGAGCACGUUUGGGCUUCGACAUUUUGUGGCUGCCACUUUUCCCGCCACUCCUACGCUGGCACUGCUUGUCUUCUGACGGCGGCGUCUCCACCAUUGUGCCUUUGAUCUUCAGCAGCGUUCUGCGGCCACCACUUUUCCCUCUGCUCCAGCACCAGAGGAACUGCUGCUGAGAUAUCUAUAAACAUAAAGCACCAAUUCCUGUGUAUCUGGAUAACGAAGCACCGAGUUUAGAACUUGAAUUUGGAUCCUCUGCACAGUAACACCAUUCACCAGUACUGAACAAGACCAAAUUUUGUGUGUUUUACAUUGGUAAGAAAUAAGCAAUGCCUAUUCUGUACUGAAUUGUAUAUGAUGGCAAAACUCCUAGCAAGCUUAUAAACCAGAUAGAUUAAACACACAUGCUGUAUCAAUUUGAACUCAAAUAAGAAACAUAAUUUAUUUAACUAGAUCAAGACACUAAACAGAUUAAGUUAAUUCUGAAGUCCUUAUUAAUAAAACAACCCCAUAUUCAUAAUGAAUAAUACCAUUUAAUGGAAUGGCUGACGCUCUUGAGGCUACAUCUACAUGGCAGUUUGAAGAUGUGACUAUAGCAUGUGUAGCCAUAGCUGAGGUAGCUUUAAACCAGCUAGACUGGCUAUCAAAAGUAGUAAAGGUACACAACAUUGAGUUACAGGCAGGCUUAUUUAGCCCAAGCAUUUACUCAGGCAUUUCCUAGAUGUUUGGAACAAUGUAAACAGUUGAUCUAUGUUCUGUUCUAAUAUUUGGAAUUGCUCUGGGAUGCCUACAAGCUCUUAAUCUUAGAUGCAAUUUUUAAAUAAUUUAUUUUUAGAUAUUCAGCAUCAUAAAAUAUCAUUGGGAGUUUGAAUUAUUGUUGACUCAUUUAAAAUUUUGAGUCUAUUUGUAGGCUCAUAACUAUCAGCUCUCAAUGGCAAUGAGUAUUCCUCCAUGGUAUUUAGAACAGUCAUGCAGUCUGAUGUGGGUUGGUUCCCUUGGCUCAGCUCAAAGUUGCUUCAUAUUGUAUGUAUGAUCUGAGUACAUUAUAAAAUGAGAAAGAAAUAGUGUAAAUACUCAGUUAGUGUUAUCUGUAAAGAGCUUUAAAAAUCCUGUAUAACAAAAGGGGUUUUAUAAAUAAA